rnacentral:rRNA from 1 species
GAUGAACGCUGGCGGCGUGCCUAAUACAUGCAAGUCGAGCGGUAAGGCCCUUCGGGGUACACGAGCGGCGGACGGCUGAGUAGCGCGUAGGAACGUACCCCAAAGUGAGGAAUGAGCACCAGAAAUGGUGUCUAAUACCGCAUGUGGUCUUCGGAUUAAAGCCUUCGGGCGCUUUGGGAGCGGCCUGCGUAUGAUUAGCUUGUUGGUGAGGUAAUGGCUCACCAAGGCGACGAUCAUUAGCUGGUCUGGGAGGAUGAUCAGCCAGACUGGGACUGAGACACGGCCCAGACUCCUACGGGAGGCAGCAGUAGGGAAUUUUCCACAAUGGACGAAAGUCUGAUGGAGCAACGCCGCGUGCAGGAUGAAUGCCUUCGGGUUGUAAACUGCUUUUAUAGGUGAAGAUUAUGACGGUAACCUAUGAAUAAGGAUCGGCUAACUCCGUGCCAGCCGCCGCCGUAA